CAGAGGAAGCCCCCAUCGGGAGUGCAGACUGAGCCUGUGCAAGUCUGGGCUGAUGCUUGCUGAUGAAAUCACAGCCACAAUAAAAGAGGGAUGUUUCCAGCCAAAGACAUUUGGGCACAAGAAAAUAAAACCAGAAGACAUCAGGAACAGCAAAAGCAGGGCCUGGUGAGUGAAGAGGGCCCCUGGGCCUCCGCGGGGGAAGAGAUCGAUUGGAGGGGACAGGCAGAGAAUGAAUUCCUUGAUCAAGCUGAACUGAUGGGGGGUGGGAAACCUCAGCCCCUGGGCGGGAUGUGCAAUGGCUCAUAAAUUCCACCCACGGAGCCUCAGAUUUGUCUGAUUUUCAGGCCAAGAAAUAAGAUAUUGCUUUGACUCUCCUCUAUUUCCGAGUUCCUGGAAUCUCUCCCCUUUCUGGCCUGCAACGUCGUAAGCCACAGGCUGAUGGCUCUGGCCACAGGGAGGGGAAGAGGAGGGUGGCCCAGGCAGGGAUCUACAUGGAAUCAACCCCAGGAAGACUGAGCCGGGUUCACCUUAAGGUCCCUGUGAUCAUGCUUUGAGGCAAACUGGCUUGGUAGGAGCGGUUUCUGUGCCAGUAAAAAGGGCACUACACGGAGAGGAAGGUUCUAAUCUAAUCUAACCUCUCCCAAUAAGUC